rnacentral:rRNA from 1 species
CCUUUUCUGGCGACGAGUGGCGGACGGGUGAGUAAAGUAUGGGGAUCUGCCGAAUGGAGGGGGACAACUGCUGGAAACGGCAGCUAAUACCGCAUAAAGUUGAGAGACCAAAGCGUGGGACUUUUUAGCCACGCGCCAUUUGAUGAACCCAUAUGGGAUUAGCUUGUUGGUAGGGUAAUGGCUUACCAAGGCGACGAUCUCUAGCUGGUCUGAGAGGAUGACCAGCCACACUGGAACUGAGACACGGUCCAGACUCCUAUGGGAGGCAGCAGUGGGGGAUAUUGCACAAUGGGGGAAACCCUGAUGCAGCCAUGCCGCGUGUAUGAAGAAGGCUUUCGGGUUGUAAAGUACUUUCGGUAAUGAGGAAGGUGUAUUAUCUAACAGGUAAUGCAAUUGACGUUAGUUACAGAAGAAGCACCGGCUAACUCCGUGCCAGCAGCCGCGGUAAUACGGAGGGUGCGAGCGUUAAUCGGAAUAACUGGGCGUAAAGGGCAUGCAGGCGGGUCAUUAAGUUAGGUGUGAAAUCCCCGGGCUCAACCUGGGAACUGCACUUAAAACUGGUGGUCUGGAGUAUUGUAGAGGAAGGUAGAAUUCCACGUGUAGCGGUGAAAUGCGUAGAGAUGUGGAGGAAUACCGGUGGCGAAGGCGGCCUUCUGGACAAAUACUGACGCUGAGAUGCGAAAGCGUGGGGAGCAAACAGGAUUAGAUACCCUGGUAGUCCACGCUGUAAACGAUGUCGAUUUGGAGUUUGGUGGCAUGACUGCUGGGGCUUCA